ACAUAUCACCGCCAAUAAAGCUCUCUUCACCGGAAAUAUUUAACCCUAAUCCCUCAUUUUCUCUAUCCUUUCUAUUUAUGUAACCUUCAUCCCAGAACUUGCGAUCAAAAUCCAAAACCUAACCCUAGAUUAUGAUUACUCUUCCUACUCUUCGUGCAAAUUCUUCCUCAAAACUCAUCAAUUUGGGGAAGAAUGCGUCUACAUUCUCUUAUUUAAAGCACCGGAUGAGUGUCGAUUUGGUUUUUGAAACGAGAAUUGAAAAAAUCGAUCUUCGAAUCUAAUUUUUCCUCAAGUGAAGAUCGAUGUAAAUCUUCACUUUGGGAAAAAUCAGUAAUGCGAGGGUUUUGACGGAGCUUCUUGAUGAAGAAGUAGAAGUACGAGGAACUCACCGAAGAUGAUUAGAGAUGUUGACAUAAGGAGGGAAUGCUAUGUUGGGAAUACAGUGUAAUAGAGGAGUUCGUGAUAAUAUAGCUGCACCAAAAGAAGUUUUACAGUUGACGAUUUUAUUCUGGGAUUAUUCGUUUGCUGAAGUUAUGUGUAACAUUUUAUUUAUGACAAUAAUGUACUAUUUUAGAGUCGUCUCGGUGUGAGUUAAUGGACUUUUGAAGGAAAUCUAGGUUGAUUGAUACAUAAUAGAGCGAGUGAUGUUAAUUAGAGAGCUGAAUGUUGUUGUAAGAAACUGUGUGGGCCGUGGGGUAUAAUUUUACAACUUCGUUUCACGAAUCUCUUUAAAAAUACUCAUUUGGAUCAAACGUUUAGUUUUUUAACAUAAUAUUUUUGGAGUGUCCACUUAUUUUUUGUACUUUAUAGAGGUUAUAUAUAUAUAUAUAGAGAGAGAGAGAGAGAGAGUAGAUUGAGCUUUUGAUGUUAUAGAGGUUGUGUUUGUUAUAGGUUUAUGGAAAGUUCUUUUUUGAAAGCUAUCGAGAAAUUGUGAAGUCUUCUUUAGUGGACAUUUUGAGAGGAAUAUGGGAAACCAAGUCCGUUAUGAAAUGCUGCUUGGAGAAAAGAAAUGUAAGUAAUUUUUUUUGUUGAUGGCUUAUGAAGCAGGUGUUGUAGAGAAAGAGGGGAUUUUGUGGCAGUAAAUUACUAUGGGGCGAAAAGGUUUGGAUUUUUGAGAUCACCUGUGAGAGCGUAAUGUAUUAAAGGCUGUUGAAUAGCCAGAAAUAUGUUGAAAGGCUUGUUAUUGACUAGCCGAAGUUUGUGGUGAAUAUAGGAUGCUCAGUUCCAUUUACUUUGUUGGUUGUCAAUCCUUGUCAUCGUGGAGUGGCUUUAUAUGUCUAUUGUGUAACUGUAUCAUGUAUAGCAUGCAAGUUGUUAUUCUCAUGGCAUAAAAAGAGCAUUCUUGUGAAUGUCUAUUGUAUGCUAGGUGUUUUCUUAUGGAUGUAAAGGAUGCUCCGUUUGGAUUUAAGACAAGGAAAUAAAAUUCCCCAUUGGUAGCGGAAGUUGUCCAUUUAGCGGCGACAAUUCUAUUUUAAUAGCAAAAAAUAUCUUGCCAGUUUUACAAGUGACGGACUAACAGGGUCAUAUCCGGUGAACCUUCAAAAUAAAUUACGUCGCUGUAUAAGUGGAUCUCAUUGUGAAAGAGCUAAUCCUAUAAUGGUUGUUGCAUAUUCGAUUUCUAGGUUUUGGUUGUUGAUAGGUGUUGACUUAAUGAUGAAAAGUUUCCACUUGGAGCAUAGGUGAGAACUGAGAAGGGGUUCAUUGACUAUUGAUACUGAAGAUAUGACAGUGUAGACCUGUAGUCGAACUGUCAAACAUGCUUUAAUGUUAACUUGAAUGUAGAGCGUAAGGAAAUAUUUCCACCAAGUAAAAGUCCUUUGACGUUGGCUUACAGAGUCACAGGGGUUUAAAGCUUUGGAGUCAGAUUUCCUUUUGUUCUUUGUUACUCGACUUUUUAUUUGCCUCAGGUACCCGUGUCUGAUUCUCAACCCCCCUACAUGGUUUGGACACUUAAACACUUACAAUAUGGGGGAAAACGAUGGGAACUUUCAGAAAAUAGCCGAAUCGGACACUUUGAACACAAGUACCUGAGUCCGAGUUAAAUUAUGAAGAACAUUUCAAGGUGACCGCAUACUUCUUUGUUGAAUUGUAGUUGUCGACUUUGGAAAUUAUAGAAGCUACAAUGGUGGUUUCUUUUGUUGGAGUUUUUGGGUGAUGUUCAUGAAAUUAAUUGCAGACCCAAGUCUAGUAUUUAAUUUUGGUUAUACUUAUACUCCUUUAACAUGGAGCCUGGGAACUUCCAAUGUGUAGAGCUCUAAAUAGAUUUUGAAUAUUUAAAAAAAAAAAAAAAUUGAAUUAUUUUGUUUAGUUAUAGUAAUAUUGUGGCAGAACUAAUAAAGUAGCCAAGGAAAUUGCUUGAAACCUUGUUUAGGGGAUAGUUAGGUAGAGACGUAGAGUACUCGAGCUAGGGUUUUCUGCUGUUUGAAGUUUCAUGGUGGUUCCAAAAUCAGCUCUGCUUGCUUGAUUUUGCAGUAGUCACUUGUGCUUUGAGAGUAUGGAACAGUGAACUUGUAAAUUUCAUGUUUUCCCAAUCAAGCCAAUUAUUUUGGAAUACAGGUCUAAAUCAAAGUUCUACUACACUUUUGGCUUGAGAAUGUGUGAAUUUGAAAAUUGAUUUGACAAGAACCUUUAAUUUUUACGUUCUGGAAUUUUCUCAAUGGAAUUGUGGAUAUCAAACUCAUGCAAUUCCCCCUCCCCUUUUAGAGAGCAUAUGUUAAAUAUUAAAUAUUGAAUCCCCAUGCGAGAGCUAAAGGUGGAAAUGAUUGAUGACUGUAAGAGUUCACUGGGCCUUAGCAAUAUGACUUUAUGAGUACAUGAGAUGUCUCUGGACAAAUUACUCCGUAUUUGAUUUCAGACCCGGCAGUAAUGAAAGGGAGUAAGGGAGACUCGUCACCAAGACAGUGCUUCUUAUUUUGUCCCCGUAAAGUCUUUCUGAAAUAUGCUGGUGUAUUGCUAGAUGUUUAGUUGUCCCCGUAACGUAGUUGUUGUAAGGAAAUUUUUGCUGAAAGUGAUUUAACCUUAUUGCUUGUCCUUUUUGUGAUUCUGAGAUGGAGACCAUUGAACAACAUCUCUUUUUUGCUUGCGGAUACUCUAAUACGACUGUUUGGGCUUAAGCUUUUGUUUCUUAAGACCAAUAGGAGCCCUGGGGCUUGCUGAAGAGUGGCAGCUUGUUCUGAGAACGGAGUAAAAGGACUUCCAGCAGAACCAGUAAGGUGUUUUCGGUUUUGUUCUCUAAAGCUGUGUCUACUGUUUGUGGAUUCAGAAAAAUACAAGAGUUUUUGCUGGCAGGGAUUAGACUGUGAUGGAGAUUGUUUUCAGGGCAGCUUGUUGAUGCCAAGAUUCAAUCCUUGGUUUUCCUAUGAGUCAUUUGUUUACAGUUAGUCUGUAGUCAUUUUUGUAAGGCUGUGUAGUUUUGGUGUUUGUCGGUAAGUCGACGCGGCUGUUGUUGCUUGUACUUCCGGCGUACUUUUUGUUGUUGUUGUUGCUGCUGCCUUGUACUCCUGCGUUUUUUGUUGUUGCUUGUUAGGAAGGUAGAAGAGAGAUUUGGUGGGGUUUGUGUAAGAAAAUACGAAGUAGGAGGAAAGAAAGUGAAACAAACGGGAUUUGGUGGGGUUUGGUGUUAUGAAGGAAGAGAGGGAGAGAAAGUGGGAGCCAUGGAGGAGAUGAGAUAAUAAGGGGUUAAAUAUCUCUUUUAGAUGGAAUAAAGGAGUGAAGGCAGGUGAAGCUCAGCUGAGUUCACAAGUGUUGAUAAAUAAAGGCGGUGGUUAUAUGAAGCAAAUUAAGAUGCUAGUGUUUUCUCAUCUCCAAAAGCAACUCUUUACAUUCGAACUGCCUAUAUAUUUCCAGUAAUGCCUCUUACAACUAAAUCUGGUAGGACUAAGGCUGGCGGGAGGGAAUUGUACUGGACUGUAAACCUUUAACCGAACUUAUACAGCUAUGCUUGGAGUUAUAAUUACUGCACCUGUUAUGACUAGCCCUUCUUUGAAUUUGUCUAACCUUAUUAUUCCCGUAUCUUUUUUAUUGGAGGUAAAAAUAACAAAGCUGCAUGUUCUCGUGGUAAAUUAUAAACCAGAGCAGGAAGUAGUUUUUACAGGACUUGAAAAAAAAAAAGGGGAUAUGAAAUUCUUUUUUCCUGUGACUAAUGAGGCGUAAUGACCUAUUCAUCCACUGAAUAACUGGAUGCAUUAACCACCAGUACACCAUCCAUUUCCUUGGCCUUUUAUUUUCAACCAGUGGAGCUCUUUUAUUUACUUUUUCCUUUAGGGGAUCGGACCUGGAGAAAUAGCACAAGAUUUUCCAGCCUUUUGAUAAUCCCAAGUGCUGUACGUUGAUGUACAAAUAACAGAACCAUGCUCUUCUUGCGAAUUGUGCCUAGUAAGGAACGGCUGUCCGAACUGUUGAUGGGCCUGAUAUCAUGUCCUCUAGGAGGAGGUCGAGAAGUGCUCGAGCAAUAGGACCUUCAUUUCCUGCACAAUAUCCAUCACCACGAAGACACAAUCAUAUGUUUAGAAAUAUACUCCCUCCGGCCCUAAGGCUCUGUUUGGUAAGGCGUAAAACGUUUCAUUGUAAAACAAUUUUUCAUGUAAAACAGUUUUCAAGGGAAAAUACAAUUUCAAACUAGUUUUCAUUUGUUUGGUAACUGGGAGAAGAUGGUGAAGAUUGAGUGGAAGAAAGGAGAGGAGGUAAGGAGGAAAGAAGGAAAAGUGGUUUCCCUCCCUUUCAAAUGGAAAAGGGUUUUCCAUCAUUGAGAGAGUAAUAGAAAAUUGUUUUCCAUCCCUUACCCAACCAAACAACGUGAAAUGAUUUAAAAGGGGAAAAUCGUUUUCCAUGAAAACCUUUUACGCCCUGUCAAACGGAGCCUAAUUGUUUUUACCGUUUCCUUUUAAGGUGUCUGAAAACGAUCUUUCCAUUUCUUUUCUUUCCUUUUUAACGUUGUAAUUUUAUUAGUUUAUUAGUAAAAGGCUUUGUAAUCUCAUUUGGUUGGUUUUAAUUUUGAUGGAUUAAUGUGUUGUACUUUA